rnacentral:rRNA from 1 species
CGUAGGCGCGAGCGUUGUCCGGAAUUAUUGGGCGUAAAGAGCUUGUAGGCGGUUUGUCGCGUCUGCUGUGAAAGCCCGGGGCUUAACUCCGGGUUUGCAGUGGGUACGGGCUAACUAGAGUGCAGUAGGGGAGACUGGAAUUCCUGGUGUAGCGGUGGAAUGCGCAGAUAUCAGGAGGAACACCGAUGGCGAAGGCAGGUCUCUGGGCUGUAACUGACGCUGAGAAGCGAAAGCAUGGGGGAGCGAACAGGAUU